rnacentral:rRNA from 1 species
UACGUAGGGCGCAAGCGUUAUCCGGAAUUAUUGGGCGUAAAGAGCUCGUAGGCGGUUUGUCGCGUCUGCCGUGAAAGUCCGGGGCUCAACUCCGGAUCUGCGGUGGGUACGGGCAGACUAGAGUUCGGUAGGGGAGACUGGAAUUCCUGGUGUAGCGGUGAAAUGCGCAGAUAUCAGGAGGAACACCGGUGGCGAAGGCGGGUCUCUGGGCCGAAACUGACGCUGAGGAGCGAAAGCGUGGGGAGCGAACAGG